rnacentral:rRNA from 4 species
CUCUGACCUCAAAUCAGGU